GUUAGUAUUGUCUACCGUGUACCGAAUUGCUUUUGUCCUCUUUAACUGACCACGUUUUGCCUCAUCCUCUUGUACCUUCGCUCCAGAGAUCCUGACCUUGACCUACUGCCUGUUCCCUCACUACGACCAUCGUUUUACUCUUCUGGUGAAGAGGUGACUCUGGAAUGCUGGCCUUCUAGGCAGAGUUACAAAGAAAAGACAUAUCUCAGACUGGCAAGUGAAAAGAAAAGACACAAACAUUGGUCUGAGGAAGAACCAGGAAGUCCAGCAGCCUGGUGUCGCCUCUUCUCUGUUGAUGUUGAGACUGGUGUUUUGCGUGUACUAUUAAAUAAAGCUGCCAGAACCUGUGAGGCAUCUGUUUCUUAAACUAGACUCUAAUGUAUUUGUCCUCUUCCUCAGUUGUGCAUCCCAAUUCUGGUUAGAGGCAGUUUGCGCUGUUCUGUGAAGGGAGUACUACACAUCUCUUUGGUUCCUUGGCAAUUUCUCACAUGUAAUUGCCUUCAAUUCUCAGAACAAUAAUGGACUGACGAGUUCCAGAAGAAAGUGCUUUGUUUCUGGCCAUUUUGAGCCAGUAAUCCAACCUAAAAUUGCUGAUGCUGUAGAUGCUGAACUAGUCUACAGAAG
ensembl:lncRNA